rnacentral:rRNA from 1 species
CAAGUCGAACGAUGAAGUUACUUCGGUAACUAUCAGUGGCGGACGGCUGAGUAACACGUAGGUAACGUGCCCUUUACUGGGGGAUAACAUCGGGAAACCGGUGCUAAUACCGCAUAAGUAAAGAGCUGAAAUGCUUUUUAUUAAAGAAUUUCGGUAAAGGAUCGGCCUGCGUCUGAUUAGCUAGUUGGUAGGGUAAAGGCCUACCAAGGCAAUGAUCAGUAGUUGGUCUGAGAGGAUGACCAGCCAGAGUGGGACUGGGACACGGCCCACACUUCUACGGAAGGCAGCAGUAGGGAAUUUUGCGCAAUGGGCGAAAGCCUGACGCAGCAACACCGCGUGUAGGAUGAAGGUUUUAGGAUCGUAAACUACUGUCAGCAGGGAAUAAUUUUGACUGUACCUGCAGAGGAAGCAUCGGCUAACUACGUGCCAGCAGCCGCGGUAAGACGUAGGAUGCAAGCGUUGUCCGGAAUUAUUGGGCGUAAAGAGUUCGUAGGCGGUUAUCUAAGUCUGGUGUUAAAGCCCGAAGCUCAACUUCGGCAUGGCAUUGGAAACUGGAUGGCUAGAGUGUGGUAGAGGUAUCGGGAAUUCCUGGUGUAGCGGUGAAAUGCGUAGAUAUCAGGAGGAACACCGGUGGCGAAAGCGCGAUACUGGGCCAUAACUGACGCUGAGGAACGAAAGCCAGGGGAGCGAAAGGGAUUAGAUACCCCUGUAGUCCUGGCCGUAAACGAUGGAUACUAGGUGUUGGAGGAUUCGACCCCUUCAGUGCCGUAGCUAACGCGAUAAGUAUCCCGCCUGGGGAGUACGACCGCAAGGUUGAA